GACGAAGGAUGCAAGCGUUAUCCGGAUUCAUUGGGUUUAAAGGGAGCGUAGGUGGCCUUAUAAGUCAGUGGUGAAAUCUUUGGGCUUAACCCAAAAAUUGCCAUUGAUACUGUAGGGCUUGAGUAUAGUUGCCGUUGGCGGAAUAUGACAUGUAGUGGUGAAAUACAUAGAGAUGUCAUAGAACACCGAUUGCGAAGGCAGCUAACGAAACUAUAACUGACACUGAGGCUCGAAAGUGCGGGGAUCAAACAGG
rnacentral:rRNA from 1 species